rnacentral:rRNA from 1 species
GCAAAAGUCGGAGCGGACAGAUGGGAGCUUGCUCCCUGAUGUCAGCGGCGGACGGGUGAGUAACACGUGGGUAACCUGCCUGUAAGACUGGGAUAACUCCGGGAAACCGGGGCUAAUACCGGAUGCUUGAUUGAACCGCAUGGUUCAAUUAUAAAAGGUGGCUUCUGCUACCACUUACCGAUGGACCCGCGGCGCAAUAACUAGUUGGUGAGGUAACGGCUCACCAAGGGGACGAUGCGUAACCCACCUGAAAGGGUGAUCGGCCACACUGGGACUGAAACACGGCCCAAACUCCUACGGGAGGCAGCAGUAAGGAAUCUUCCGCAAUGGACGAAAGUCUGACGGAACAACGCCCCGUGAGUGAUGAAGGUUUUCGGAUCGUAAAACUCUGUUGUUAGGGAAGAACAAGUACCGUUCGAAUAGGGCGGUACCUUGACGGUACCUAACCAGAAAGCCACGGCUAACUACGUGCCAGCAGCCGCGGUAAUACGUAAGUGGCAAGCGUUGUCCGGAAUUAUUGGGCGUAAAGCGCGCGCAGGCGGUUUCUUAAGUCUGAUGUGAAAGCCCCCGGCUCAACCGGGGAAGGUCAUUGGAAACUGGGGAACUUGAGUGCAGAAGAAGAGAGUGGAAUUCCACGUGUAGCGGUGAAAUGCGUAGAGAUGUGGAGGAACACCAGUGGCGAAAGCGACUCUCUGGUCUGUUACUGACGCUGAAGCGCGAAAGCGUGGGGAGCGAACAGGAUUAGAUACCCUGGUAGUCCACGCCGUAAACGAUGAGUGCUAAGUGUUAGAGGGUUUCCGCCCUUUAGUGCUGCAGCAAACGCAUUAAGCACUCCGCCUGGGGAGUACGGUCGCCAGACUGAACUCAAGAUGACGGGGCCGCACAGCGUGAGCAUGUGGUAUCGUAGCACGCGAGACUACAGUCUGACAUCUCUGAC